UUAAGAAAACAAUUCAUUACUUUUUCUGUAGUUUUAUAAUGAGAUAAGUGUUGCUUAGUGAUUUUGGGGACAGGGAAUGUGACUAUCCAACUGAAUCAACUGAACCUUGAAAAUUUCUUUGCCUAUGUUUUCAUCAGUAAAGUAGUAUUAAUAUGUCCAGAAAACUUUCUUUUUUAUAGAUUUACGAGUUAAUAUUGUAUUAACGUACUUUAAAUUCUUCAAAGAAACAGAUAGACCAGAGCUACAAAAGAGAGUUUGAAUUUGUGAUUUGGAAAGAAAAAGUAACAUUAGAUCAUUUGAAUUAAAGAAGGAAAAAUGGCCUAGGAUCAUUUCUUACUUACUGAUUUGUAGUUCUUUGCACAUUCAUGCUGUUUGGUUUCAACAUGGCAUUUGACUGCUCUCUUCCUGAUAUUUUAUCAGGAAAUCACAAAAAUUUUGUAUAUCACUUUUGAUCUAC